UCGCGCCGUCCGCGCUCGUGUCGCCCAAAAAUGUCUCAUUAGCUAACUACUGUCCGCCGUGACGUCACCGGGGCGGCGCAGCCAAUGGGCGAGGCGCUGGCGUGGAUAUUAAGGGAAAGUUAGUGCAAAGGCAGCACCCCUCUUUUGCUGUCAUUGACAUUUAAACUGUGUGGCAGGUUCUCGCGUGGAAAUUGGCGACCGGAGCCGCCAGGUACCGCCGCGCCCGGACCGUGCGCUCCCGCUGACAGGAUGCGUGCGGCGGGACGCGCGGCCUCGGCCAGCGGCGUUUAGGACAUCCAGGAGGGGAGCAGCUCGGCGGGACGGCCCACGGGACUCACAGGAAUUCAAGAUCACACAAGCAGCAGCUUCAGUGGAGAAAAACUAUUUUGCUGGCAACUCUUUUUAAAGCACCAUCAUUUCAAAUCAGUGCGCUCUUAAACUAUUGACAGGAGCUUUGACAACAAGACAGGAUGCCUCAUAAAGAGGGAAGACUUUAACUAGUGACACGCAGAUGUGCGAGUCCCUAAAUUGUAUGAGAGGACAGUCCACCCCGCUUUCAGGCAAGUUUAAAAACAUGACUUCGGACUCUCUUUGUGAUUGUUGUCGCUCCACUUAAUACACCACCUCACUAACGACGAGGCAAUACGCCACCUGCAUGCAAUUAAAAUGAGAAACCACUUGGCGGGCUGCUUUUCUUA